UCCAAACUUUGUCGGCUCGGCUCGGCUCGGCUGUGCGAGGCGAAGCGGCGGCAGCGGCAGCAGCAGCGGCAGGAUCGAUUAUUUGAUUUCUCACUUCUUUGCCUGUUGCAAUGCGGCAACUUCAGCUCCUCUUUCCACCCCCGCGGGCACCUCGCGUCCCCCCGAAAAACAACAACAAACCACCCCCCUCCCCCCAGCCACAAUCACACGCGCAACAGUUGCGGGGGGGGGGGGACGCGCAAACCGAGGCACAGGGGGGAAAACGCCCCGCAGCCGCCCCCGGCCCUGCCCGCGCCCCCCGCUCGCCGCCUUUGUGUGCUCGGCAAAGUUUGCAGGCGCCCUGCAGUUUAAGGCCGGUUCAGACUUUCCCAAUAAAGAAUAAUGGGGGGGACAAAAAUUGCACGGACCGCCCGGAGCUCCUUAUAUCUCGGGGUGGGGGAGGGCGGGGGGGACAACCCGAGUGUCCGGAAAAAAAAGCAGGAGGGCAGAAGAAAGGCGCUCGGGGGAGCACGCUUUUUUUUUUUUGUAAUUUUUUUUUUUUAAUGCUCCUUGCAGCCCCCUCCCGGCCCUGUCUCUCCCUCUCUCUCUCUCUCUCUCUCUCUUUUUAAUUUCCUCCCCUUCCCUGAUCUCUCGCAAACGGCGCUGUCAGGAGCGGGGCGAGGAGUCUUUAUUAUUAUUAUUGUUGUUAUUUUUAGGAGAGAGGAGCAGGUCUCCUGCCUUCCCCUUCCACCCGGCACCCCUCCUCCCCCCUCCCCUCCUUUUUUAAAAGCUAAUGUCGCUCGCAGGCUGGCUCCUUCCCGCUGCCUUGCAGCCGUCCGGGGUUGUGUCCUCCUCCUCCUGCACAAAUGCACUUCUGAAAACAAGCUCUCGCCAGCCUCCCUCUCUUUUCUUUGUCCUGGCUCCUUUUCCUCCUCCUGAUCUUGCUGCUGGGGCUGCAGUGCAGACACACAUAAUAAAGCCAGGCUUGGCUGGAAAUGUAGCUGAGUCCCAGCAGGAGGAUGUGAGGAGUGGAGUCCCGGCGGGGGAGCGCUCUGAUCCCGUAGGGAGCCCCGCACAGCCUGGGCUGAUCAGACGGAGAGAGAGCCAACAGCACCGAGCCAUGGACAGCCCUGGAAAUACAGCUCGGAUCGCCCGCAAAACACGGACUCCGCAGGGCGGAGGAGCGAAGGCGCCGGAUUGGAGUCGCCGGGCGGGAGGCGACUCGGCGGAGCCGCGGCCCGGGCUGGAGCGCGCAGCGCCGCGCGGCUCCCGCCUUCGCUCCCGCCCCAGCCUCGCCGCUGCCCCUUGGCGCUCGCUUCCAGGCCCGGGCCAGUGCCACUACCUCAGCACAAACUUUCCGGGAGCCGGGGCCUGCUGGCGCUGAGGGAGGGGGGCUCCCUGCCUCCCCGUCUGGCCGGGUCGAUGCCAGGCCGCAGCGCUCGAGGGGAGCUCCGCUGCCUUCCUGGUGCCUACCGCCGCCCCCCGCUUGCUGGAGACCAGACGACACCCAAAGGCUUUUCAGAAAAGGAAGACGAGCACGGAUUCCUGCAAAGCCCCAGGAAUGGAAAUGAGCUCACCCACCAGCUCCCCUCCCUCCCCGGGAUCUGGAUGAUGGCAACAACAAGGGGCAGUCAGGCAUUUCGUUGGAGCAGGGCUUGCCAUGACUUCACAACUUUCUUCCCUCUCGCCUCCUCAGAACAGCUUUUUUCAUGCUGGAGGUGGUGGGUGUUUCAAAACAAUGCGCUGCUGCUGCAGGAGGACUCUGAGCCCCUAGUUUAGCUGGGACACAGAUUUCCCUUAACAGUAGCAGGCAUGAGCCUGAGUCAACUGCAAAGUUUGUGCCAAACCUCCACAGCCCAGCCAGUGGUCCCCACCCCACCCUCCCCUCCCCCUGAGCUCCCCUCAGAAAGCUGCCUCUGACUAUAUGUGCUGAUACUGGAUCCUGACUGAUUAGGAUACAAUAGAAAUGUUAUCAGUCUUUCAUGAUCAAUAAGUUCAGCCUUAAAGACAGGAAAAGGAAAACUCAUUCCCCACGGUUACUAGUUACCCAGGGCAACCUGAAACCAUAAAAAAACCUGUAUCCCACUGAGAUAAAUUACAUGAUCUUCUUGCAAUGGGAACAGGUAAAUAUUUCUUUGAUUAUUUUAGGGCAAGAUCAGAAGCCACAUUUAAUUAAUAAUGCCUUUAAAUUAAAGGAGUGAGAAAUCUUCCAGGAUUCCUGGUCUACUCUCAGCCUGAAAAGGUGGAUUCUGGGUUCCUGAUUUAUUCUGAGAUCUUUUUAAAUGCCCUUGAGUCAGAUGCAUUUAUAUUUUUUGUUUCCUUUGAUCUAUAUCCGGGAGGAGAGAAGACAAAGCAAUCUCCUAAGAAUACUAAUAAAGUAAUUGAAAAAGAUCUGCCAAUAUUGGAGUUCACCAGCUCCUGGUGAAAUUAUUUUCCAUGAACUUUCUUACUCUUCCUAUUUUGGGGGGAAACUGGAAGUUUCAGAUUUAUUUACUUUAUCUUUCUAAAUAUGUUAAAUUAGGCAGGAACUAGAAUUCCUGGGACUUGCUCUGUUGGAAGGUGUUUCUUCCAGAAAAUCCUAAAUAUGUUCAUCUCACGUUACAGAGCAUUUGAUGUUGAGCAACAACUGGAAUUGCUAAACAAGGACUGAUGAGUUUCUUCUGCAUUUUUAAUAGAUUACAUUUACAGUGUUUAAGGAACAUGGCACACCUAUAACUUCACCUAUAACUUCAUUCACAAUAUGAACUGUUUCCAAGGUUUCUCUCUCAUGUGCGUGAUGAACUUGAGCCAUCAUUAAAGCCAGUCAGCCAACGCACCAAUCAACCUUCCUUCAAAAUAGAAGAUAUCUUUAGUAGAGUGAAACCAUUAAUAUGUAGUUGCUAGAAUGAUGGAAGCAUUAGAGAUGCCUAAACCAGGUACUGCGGACCAGAUCCACAGCUAGAGUCGGCAGUACUCCAUCAUUUUGAUUGAGUUAACCCACCUGGUCCUAUAUCUGUAGUUCAAAGAUUAACACAACACUGUGACAUAGUUUAAAUAAAGGAUUUUUAGAUAGUG